rnacentral:lncRNA from 1 species
GUGUUGGGGAUAGAAUAAACCUACUGUGAACCUGCAUGUCGUAAGAGGCGACUAAAUGGACUAAAUGGUGGUGUACCCUUAAGACGAAAAGAGCUGAAGGGCAGUUCUCAAGGCCACUUCCACGUAAAAACGGGCAGAAGAAAAGCACCGCUCAGAGCGGACUUUCUGUCCUUUUCCUCACGGAAAACGCGGCACACAUAUUUCUCUCUUUCCCAAAGAAAGAAGGAGAGUAGCGUAAGGGAAAGAUGAUUUAAUAAUUCCUUGAAUAUUUUUAUGAUGUCGGUCUAGUUAUGAGUUGAAAUAAUAUAGUAGAAUUAGAAUUUUGUUAUUGAGAUACAAUGUGUGCAACAUUGUAAUGAAAAAAAAAAUUUAAGGUAGUACGAGCAAGGCAAGCUCAUUUAUAUCUGCUCCCGUUAAGAAAAGGUUAAAGUAAGAUGCGAACGAGCAUCAUGGCAGAUCAAUCAUGACAAUUUAUUAUGAAGUAUAGUGAAUAAUAGUAGAAGUUGCAUUUACAAAUUUUAUUUUUGUGAUGAUGAAGGAGUUAAGGAAAAAAUAAGGACUCUUGCGGAAACACUCGGAAUGUACAGGGCACCCAAAGACGUUGUUUACUUGCUUUUUGGCAGAAUCUUAUUGCACGCAUGGGUUUUUGCUUUUCGUUUUUUGCCGUCUCUAAUUACUAGAUGUUCCUUCUUCUCACUGAUAACUAAACCUUUUCUUGGCAAAGAGGUAUCAGAGAAACAUAUUUAUAAUAUACAUAUUUUUAAUCUUCACAGGUGUGGUGGAAGUUCUCUUUUUAUAAUAAACAACAAUUACAAUGACAUUUAACAUUUAUAAUAGACAAUGAUGACAUUCUCCAUCAUGUUAGGGCUCCUGAACAAAUCAGGCGUGUGCCAUGUCUUCAUACGCCCAGCUUGAGAUUGCGUUGCUUUGGUGUUUACUCAUCGUUGGUUUACAUUUUCGUUGUUUGAAAAAUAGAAAGGAGUUGUAUCACGUUAAUAUAGGAGAUAAAUCAGUUUUAUGCGAGGAGUAAUCUUAUUAGAAUUUGAUUUUAGAGUUUUACAUAUGAAGAUCAAAUGUGUAUGUUAGCUAAUACAAAAUAUUUUUCCGAGAUGGACACCAUAUCGGGGUUUUGGCAGGUAGAACACAGUUAAGUUAAAGAACACCGGUACUCUAACAUUUCCUGCUCCACAUAUAUAGUUUGGAAGGCAUAGACAUAAAUCCUUCAUUUCAACUUCAUUUUCUUUCUUUAUUUCCUUGUUGUGUUUUUUUUUAAAUGCGAAUGCGUCACUUCCAUUAUACCUGGACAUUCAUUUUGUUAUUAUCCGGAUGCCCAGUCCAGAUAUGUUUGGGAUUGUCAUCUGAUUGAUUGAUCUGUUGAAGAGCAUGUAAAGCAGCUGAUAACCUGCAGUAGUUUGAUCGAUGCCUAUUAUCGUCACUCCAUUAUUGUAUUCAAGUACUUUCAUCAAUCGAAGAUAAAAAAAUUGAUCAAAGUUAAAGGGAGAAAAAGAAAUAUACAAAUGCUACGGUUCCACACGUAAGAAACACAUAAGAAGAUAAAAAGAUGAAUUGAAAUUUUUGGCAGCCUCUCUUUUUGCACUGUCCCACUCUGCGACCUCUUUUUUGCACUGCCCCACUCCUGUCACCGCUGUGAGGUUACCGGUUU